rnacentral:rRNA from 1 species
ACGUAGGGCGCAAGCGUUAUCCGGUAUUAUUGGGCGUAAAGAGCUCGUAGGCGGUUUGUCGCGUCUGCCGUGAAAGUCCGGGGCUCAACUCCGGAUCUGCGGUGGGUACGGGCAGACUAGAGUGAUGUAGGGGAGACUGGAAUUCCUGGUGUAGCGGUGAAAUGCGCAGAUAUCAGGAGGAACACCGAUGGCGAAGGCAGGUCUCUGGGCUGACACUGACGCUCAUGCACGAAAGCGUGGGGAGCAAACAGGA